rnacentral:rRNA from 1 species
CCUACGGGUGGCAGCAGUGGGGAAUAUUGGACAAUGGGGGCAACCCUGAUCCAGCCAUGCCGCGUGUGUGAAGAAGGCCCUCGGGUUGUAAAGCACGUUCAGUGAGGAAGAACGCCUGGUGGUUAAUACCCAUCAGGAAAGACAUCACUCACAGAAGAAGCACCGGCUAACUCCGUGCCAGCAGCCGCGGUAAUACGGAGGGUGCGAGCGUUAAUCGGAAUUACUGGGCGUAAAGCGCGCGUAGGUGGCUUGAUAAGCCGGUUGUGAAAGCCCCGGGCUCAACCUGGGAACGGCAUCCGGAACUGUCAAGCUAGAGUGCCGGAGAGGAAGGUAGAAUUCCCGGUUUAGCGGUGAAAUGCGUAGAGAGCGGGAGGAAUACCAGUGGCGAAGGCGGCCUUCUGGACUGACACUGACACUGAGGUGCGAAAGCGUGGGUAGCAAACAGGAUUAGAUACCCGAGUAGUC